UACGUAGGUGGCAAGCGUUGUCCGGAAUUACUGGGCGUAAAGGAUGCGUAGGCGGACAUUUAAGUCAGAUGUGAAAUACCCGAGCUUAACUUGGGUGCUGCAUUUGAAACUGGGUGUCUAGAGUGCAGGAGAGGUAAGUGGAAUUCCUAGUGUAGCGGUGAAAUGCGUAGAGAUUAGGAAGAACACCAGUGGCGAAGGCGACUUACUGGACUGUAACUGACGCUGAGGCAUGAAAGCGUGGGGAGCAAACAGG
rnacentral:rRNA from 1 species